rnacentral:rRNA from 1 species
ACAUAAGUAACGAUAAAGCGGGUGAAAAGCCCGCUCGCCGGAAGACCAAGGGUUCCUGUCCAACGUUAAUCGGGGCAGGGUGAGUCGACCCCUAAGGCGAGGCCGAAAGGCGUAGUCGAUGGGAAACGGGUUAAUAUUCCCGUACUUGGUGUUACUGCGAAGGGGGGACGGAGAAGGCUAUGUUGGCCGGGCGACGGUUGUCCCGGUUUAAGCGUGUAGGUGUGUGUUCCAGGUAAAUCCGGUUCACUUUAACACUGAGGCGUGACGACGAGGCACUACGGUGCUGAAGCAACAAAUGCCCUGCUUCCAGGAAAAGCCUCUAAGCAUCAGGUAACACGAAAUCGUACCCCAAACCGACACAGGUGGUCAGGUAGAGAAUACCAAGGCGCUUGAGAGAACUCGGGUGAAGGAACUAGGCAAAAUGGUGCCGUAACUUCGG